rnacentral:lncRNA from 1 species
UGACGAGGGAAUUUUUCAGGUUUGCUUUCUGGGUUUUUUGCACUGUGCCAGAUACAAAAGGAAAAAAUGAGCUUGUAUAAGACAAUACCUACUUUCAUUCUCUUGCUUUCAGGAUAUUUUUGUAAAAAUACACAGGUUGCUGCAAAUGAAACAUCAACAGAACAAACAUCUUUGCCAUCAAAGGAGACGUCUAGUGUCUCGUCUAGUGUCUCACCUAGUGUCUCAUCUUCCUCCAGUGUCACACAGACUCCUGAACCAGAAACACACGGGAAUGACCAUAUUUCAGGAAAAGAACUCUCCACUUCAUUAGCUUCUUUUACCACAGUUGAUUAUCAAAACCAAAAACUGGAUACGGACUGCCUACAUUAGCCUGAGAAGUUAUCCUUUUAUGAAUGGGGAUUAAAGACACUCUUUAAUUGAAAAUCAUUGUAUUUUUCUG